UAACGAUUUCAGGAUUGCAUCGGGUCUAGUCCUUGGAGGGAACGCGAGGUUCCAAUCGAGAGCAGAUACAGUUGUUGACAUAAUUAUUGACACUACAGAUGGGGCAUCAAACACCAUAUACAACAUGACUCAGGCAAUGAAAGAAAUGAGUGCAGAUUUAGGAGCCACAGAUUGAGGUCCUGAGGCCACGCGUUUCCUGACCUCCACAUCCAAGAGCCUCGACAGUCGGGCUGCUGAUAUCGAGAGGCAGGCGAGGAAAAACAGGAGGGCAAUAGAGAAGGGCUUAAGGAUUGUGUACAUAAUAAGUACUGUUAUCAUUUCAGUUAAUUUGGUUGCAGCCAUCUGUCUGUUAGUGCUAGGAAUUCUCAAGUUCAGAAGAACGCUUCGCUGGUUGAUUAUUCUUUGUUGGAUACUUACUGUACUGUGCUGGUUGUUCUUUGGGAUUUACUUCUUCAUAGACAAGUUCGCAUCAGACACAUGCACAGC